UACAGAGGUCCCAAGCGUUGUUCGGAUUCACUGGGCGUAAAGGGUGCGUAGGCGGUCGGGUAAGUCUGAUGUGAAAUCUCACAGCUUAACUGUGAAACUGCAUUGGAUACUAUCCGGCUAGAGGAAUGGAGGGGAGACUGGAAUACUUGGUGUAGCAGUGAAAUGCGUAGAUAUCAAGUGGAACACCAGUGGCGAAGGCGGUUCUCUGGGCCUGUACUGACGCUGAGGAGCGAAAGCGUGGGGAGCGAACAGG
rnacentral:rRNA from 1 species